rnacentral:rRNA from 1 species
CUGCAACUCGCCUGCAUGAAGUCGGAAUUGCUAGUAAUCGCGGAUCAGCAUGCCGCGGUGAAUACGUUCCCGGGCCUUGUACACACCGCCCGUCACACCAUGGGAGUCGGUAACACCCGAAGCCGAUAGUCUAACGAAAGAGGACGUCGUCGAAGGUGGGAUUGAUGACUGGGGUGAAGUCGUAACAAGGUAGC